GGCACCAGACCAGGGUCUGGCCCACGCCGGUCAUGCUGACCACGCGGUAGCCGAGGCUCUCCAGCUUGUCCAGCACCACGCGCGGAGCGUCAUUCACGUAGUACUCACAGCUGCACCCAGGAGAGAUGGGAAUGAGGACACAUGGGAAUCCUGGGAUUAACUGGAAAGCUGGAAGGUGCUGUGGGGAAUUCCAGGAGUGAAAAUGUUCUGCAUUUCUUGGAAAAAUAAGGAGAGAAGGACUUACAAGUUGUUGCCCAGUGUGCUCCUCUUUGUGGCCCCCAGGAUGCUCAUCAGGUGGGGAUCCGAGUGCUCGUCACCCACCAUGGUGGGCCCAGCCUCCUGUGGGACAGGCACAGAGUGGGACAGCAGCGAUCCCACCAGUGCUCCUGGACACUGAUCCCAGCCACUGCCCCAGCCGUGCCCACUCCCUUGGCCGCGUUUUCCACCCUGGAACGGCUCUUUGGGGACGAGGGAAAACCAACUGCGAGGACAGGAGGAGCCGUCCCUUUGGCGUUCCUGGGAUCCUGCCGCAAGUUUCCCAAGUGAGUCGCUGUUUGGGACAGGAGGGAUUGGGGCAGCAAAGCACCGGGAACUCUCACGGCGAGCUCUCACAGGCCGUGCUGGGCUCCCCCAAACCUGCAUCACCCCCGACCCCCAGCAGCAGCAGGGCCAGCCCAUGCCGGGAUCGCACCGGCGGCACCGCGGGCUGAGCGGGUCUCACCGCUCGCCCCGGUCGGUCCCUGCCCGUCCCCCGGUAUUCCCCACCCCCGGGGGUCCCGGCGG